ACCUGGCUGGCUCAGUCGGUAGAGCAUGUGACUCUUGAUCUCAGAGUUGUGAGUUCAAGUCCCAUGGUGGGUA
rnacentral:tRNA from 1 species